UGUGUCUGGGUACCAUGGGAGUCAGGCCCUCUGGGCUUCACGGUUAGAAGAAGCCCUCUGCCUUGCCGGCUAUUCACCACCACGCUAUGGUGGAGCCACUAGUGUAGAAAACACACACACAAAUACACACACAGACACAGACUCAUAGAGAGCGGCAUCUAAUUUGUAGAUAUGGCGGCUACACACAACAGUGAGAGAACCCCCUGGUAAAGAAGGACUGCAAGGCAACAAUGGCUGCCGCGGCACAGGGGUAGGAAUAGGGAACGUGGGAGAUAAGACAACGGAGGAGGGGUACGAUGGAUGGAGUGAUGAGGUGUGUGUGUGUGUCUCAGACCUGCAUGGAACACCACCGUGGUCUUCUUGCAUCCCGAGAGGAGUUGGAGAUUCCGGAACAAUCCUUUGGCUGUCAACUUCACAUGGAAGUUAGACAGAGAGAGUCUAGGAGACCAUAACAUGUCUCUGGUGAGAGAUUCCUCUAGUAUAGAAGCAAAGAAAAAAGGAGGGAACAAUUCACUGUCUAGUCUUUAGUCUCUAGGUAGAUACUCCUCCAGACUAGGUUGGUCUCUGGGUAGAUACUCCUCCAGACUAGGUUGGUCUCUGGGUAGAUACUCCUCCAGACUAGGUUGGUCUCUGGGUAGAUACUCCUCCAGACUAGGUUGGUCUCUGGGUAGAUACUCCUCCAGACUAGGUUAGUCUCUGGGUAGAUACUCCUCCAGACUAGGUUAGUCUCUGGGUAGAUACUCCUCCAGACUAGGUUAGUCUCUGGGUAGAUACUCCUCCAGACUAGGUUAGUCUCUGGGUAGAUACUCCUCCAGACUAGGUUAGUCUCUAGGGUAGAUACUCCUCCAGACUAGGUUAGUCUCUAGGGUAGAUACUCCUCCAGACUAGGUUAGUCUCUAGGGUAGAUACUCCUCCAGACUAGGUUGGUCUCUAGGGUAGAUACUCCUCCAGACUAGGUUAGUCUCUAGGGUAGAUACUCCUCCAGACUAGGUUAGUCUCUGGGUAGAUACUCCUCCAGACUAGGUUGGUCUCUGGGUAGAUACUCCUCCAGACUAGGUUAGUCUCUAGGGUAGAUCCUCCUCCAGACUAGGUUGGUCUCUAGGUAGAUCCUCCUCCAGACUAGGUUAGUCUCUAGGGUAGAUCCUCCUCCAGACUAGGUUGGUCUCUAGGUAGAUCCUCCUCCAGACUAGGUUAGUCUCUAGGGUAGAUCCUCCUCCAGACUAGGUUGGUCUCUAGGUAGAUACUCCUCCAGACUAGGUUGGUCUCUAGGUAGAUACUCCUCUAGUACAGGUGAAGAAAAGGAGGGAACAAGAGAAAAAGACUCCCAACAAAACCAAGUCCAAAAGAGCAGCUACACCAC